ensembl:snRNA U1 U1 spliceosomal RNA
GUGUUUACCUGUGGGAGAGAUGCUCUGACCCAGGAAGCGGCUUUCCCAGAGAGAGGCCCUUCCUUUGCACUGGGCUGUGCUGACUAAUGAUUUCCCAGGGCAGGAACCUCCAUUGUAUAAACUGUGAUAGUGGGGAACUGUGUUUGUCUUUCCUCCUA